UUUAUUUUGAGUUUGAUCUUGGCUCUGAAUGAACGCUAGCUAUUGACUUAACACAUGCUAGUCAGAAUUUAAAUACAGUGGAACGAAGUUCACCAAGAUGAUUUUCGUCUUCGGGAAUUUUUCAACACUGGAACUCUUUGAGUUCAGAAAUUAAUUUUUCACCGGCCUUACACGGAAUAGUAAGGAAUUAUAAAUUCGGCGUAAAGGUGAGUAAAUCUAGGAAAAAGAGGAGAGACUCCAAGAGGAGCACUCCGAUUUGGUGAAGCUCUUAGAGCUUGAUCAAAUCAGACCGAGUCCAAAGGACUUGAGGAAAUCACUACCUGAAUCGAAGAUUCUUAAGAGAUAAAGAACGAAAUUCGUUUAUCUUGUCAUAAGAUGUGCCUAGAAAGGAUUAGAGAAAUCGAUGAUCCUUAGCUGAUCUGAAAGGAUGGUCAGUCACAGUGGAACUGAAAUAAGGACCACACAAUCAGAGUAUUGGCAGCAGUGGGGAAUAUUGGACAAUCAGCAGAAAGCUGGAUCCAGUCAAAUAGCAUGAAGAAGAUCGAAAUUCUUCUUCUAUGGAAAAGAGGAUAAUGACGUUAAAUUCCUGAAUAGUCCCGGCAAAUCUCGUGCCAGCAGCCGCGGUAAUACGAGAGGGGCGAGCGUGAGUCAUAAGAAUUUGGCGUAAAGAGUAAAAAGGCGGUAUUUUUUGGAUCAUCUUGGUGGGAAUUCAUCAUGAUGAAUUUUGUUAUACGGAGAAUUAUAAAUUGUGCGUAAACUAGAGUAAAAUAGAGGAGAGUAGAAUUGAAAGUGUAAGGAUGAAAUCUAGAAAUAUUUUCAGGAAUAUCAAUAGCGAAGGCCACUCUCUUGGUUAUUACUGACGCUGAAUUACGAAAGUGUGGGGAGCAAACGGGAUUAGAGACCCCGGUAGUCCACACCCUAAACGAUGAAUGUUCAAAAGGAUAUUAUAUUUAUCCUUUUCUACCUAACGGGUUAAACAUUCCGCCUGAGGAGUAAGAUCGCAAGAUUGAAACUCAAAAGAUUAGUCGGUCUCUCACACCAGCAGUGAAGCAUGAAGUUUAAUUUGAUGAUACGCAAAGAACCUUACCUAUCUUUGAUAAUUUCAGGCGUUGCAUGGCUGUCGUCAGUUCGUGUUGUGAAACGUUUAAUACGAACAAAACCCCAGAAUCAAAACCUUUUAAAGGUUCUCAACUCGUUGAAGAAUUCUUCUUCUUCAUCGAAAGGAUUCAGGGACUACGUCAAGUCAUUAUGACCCAUAUAGAUAGGGCUAAAUUCGUGCCACUAUAAACAAUACAAAGGGAAACAAUAGUGGAGGAAAGAAGAAGAACAAAGUUCCUUGUUCCUCUAUUACUGGAGAAAAUCCCGAAAAUUUAUUAGGUUCAGACAGGAUCUUGAAAUUCAGAUCCUCGAAGUAGGAAUUGCUAGUAAUCGUGAAUCAGCCACGUCACGGUGAAUAAAAUCUGAGAGAUGAACUAACCGUCCGUCAUAGUCUGGGAAUCAAUCUGGUUUGAAGUAGGAAGGAGACUCAGAAAGAAAAAAUAAAGAUAUGAAAAAUUUUGAAAAUCUCGAUUAAAUCGCGAACAAAGUUCGAUUAUUUUUUCAUAAAGCUGAAUAAGUCAAUGUUCUAUUAUUAUUGAUUGGUGACUGGAUUAAAGUCGUAGCAAGGUCGGGUUACGGGAACGUGAUCCGGAAUGGUAAAAAUA
rnacentral:rRNA from 1 species